rnacentral:rRNA from 1 species
AUUGAACGCUGGCGGCAGGCCUAACACAUGCAAGUCGAGCGGAUGAAGGGAGCUUGCUCCUGGAUUCAGCGGCGGACGGGUGAGUAAUGCCUAGGAAUCUGCCUGGUAGUGGGGGAUAACGUCCGGAAACGGGCGCUAAUACCGCAUACGUCCUGAGGGAGAAAGUGGGGGAUCUUCGGACCUCACGCUAUCAGGAGCCUAGGUCGGAUUAGCUAGUUGGUGGGGUAAAGGCCUACCAAGGCGACGAUCCGUAACUGGUCUGAGAGGAUGAUCAGUCACACUGGAACUGAGACACGGUCCAGACUCCUACGGGAGGCAGCAGUGGGGAAUAUUGGACAAUGGGCGAAAGCCUGAUCCAGCCAUGCCGCGUGUGUGAAGAAGGUCUUCGGAUUGUAAAGCACUUUAAGUUGGGAGGAAGGGCAGUAAGUUAAUACCUUGCUGUUUUGACGUUACCAACAGAAUAAGCACCGGCUAACUUCGUG